rnacentral:rRNA from 1 species
GACGGAGGAUGCAAGUGUUAUCCGGAAUCACUGGGCGUAAAGCGUCUGUAGGUGGUUUAAUAAGUCAACUGUUAAAUCUCGAGGCUCAACCUCAAAAUCGCAGUCGAAACUAUUAGGCUAGAGUAUAGUAGGGGUAAAGGGAAUUUCCAGUGGAGCGGUGAAAUGCGUAGAGAUUGGAAAGAACACCGAUGGCGAAGGCACUUUACUGGGCUAUUACUAACACUCAGAGACGGAAAAGCUAAGGGUAGCAAAUGGG